rnacentral:lncRNA from 1 species
CCUCCCGCCCCUCAGGUGAGGCCCUACGCCCUCUCUCCUCUCAGGUGAGGCCCUACGCCCUCGCUCCAGGGGAGGUCGGCUCCGUCGCCCUCUCCAGGCCGCGGAAACAGUAUUGAAGAAGUGGCAGCAGCUGAGAAUGCCGGGAGAGCAGGCUGGAGGCAAAGUGCAAAGGGAAGAGAGCAAAUCUCUGAUGGCUUUGCAGUGCAUUCCCAGGUGAUGACUACAGAGACCCCCGGGGGGAACCACAGCUCCAUUUCCAUCACCUCUGACACUUGUGAGAAGAGACAAACCAGAGGUUGCUUGGCCGCCUUCCUUCUUCCUGCCAGCCCCAGAACACAAAGCACAGUUACUGACACACUGAUCCUGAGCUGGAAGGGAGCCACAGGGAUCAUCCAGUCCAAAUCCUGGCCCUGCACAGACACCCCAAUAAUCUCACCCGGGCCUGAGAGUUUUCCAAAUGCUCCUGGAGCUCUGGCAGCCUUGGGGCUGUGCCCAUUCCCCAGGGAGCCUGGGCAGUGCCCCAGCAAUCUCUGUAGGAAGAAUAUUUUCAUCAUUCAGUCUAACCCUCACCUGACACAGCUCCAGCUGUUCCUUGGGUCCUGUCUGUGGUCACAGAGAGCAGAGAUUGGAGCUGCCCCUUGGGAGGAAGCUGCAGCCCCUGGUGAGCUCUGCCCUCACCCUCUUCUCCAAGCUGAACAGACCAAGUGACCUCAGCUCCUGCCUUUCUUGCAAGAAGUUUAACGGACAUUUGUUUUCCAGCCCUUGGUCUACAUUUACAAAUCUAGGCAGUACAUGACCCUCAGAGAGUGUAAACCCCAAAACUGCCUACAACCCUCACUGGGCAUUGCCCACAUCUCCUCAAGAUCCUCCCCUUUAGCAGUGGGAUAAGAAGACACCAGCAGGGAUAAAUAAUCUGGAAUUUCCUAGGAAUAAGGGAAUGUUCCCUGUCCCAGUGGUGGCAGACACCUCAAUGCUUCUGAAAAUGCUCUGAGCAGGAGAAGAGGGAGGAAAAGAAACAGCUGAUCUGAUCAUGCUUUGAUCCUUCACAUUUAAAUGUAGGUAACCAGGAGUUAGGGAAGCCUCCCUACCUUCGGGGAACCUGAGCCUGCUGUGCUUGGCCUCUGCAGCAGGGAUGCAGAUGUGUGAGAUGAUCCCAAGGAGAUUAUCUCCCUGCUCCCAGAAGCACCCAGAGAUGCAGGGAGUGCAGCUGGAUUGAAGAGACAUUUUUCUGUUUGCUUAGGCCACUUCCAGUUUCUAUUAUAAUGUCAAUCUGGAUUUGGGGGCCUCCUGGCCAUGGUCUCCACAGAAAUAUUUCUGCCAGAGUUUGUAAAACACCUUUUGCAGUUAAAUUAACAGUCUCACCUCACUGUUUCCUACAGCAUUCUCCCUGAGAAACUAGCUGCUCAUGGCUUCCAUGGGUGCACUGUUUGCUGGGCAAAAACCUGGCUGCUGCCUGGGCACAGGGAAUGGUGGGAAUGGAGUUACAUCCAGCUUGGGCUGGGCACCACUGAGGAACCCCAGAGCUUAGUAUUGGACCCAGCACUGUUUAAUAUCUUUAUCCAUGAUGUGGACAAGGGGAUUUGCCACCCUCAGUACGUUCUUAGGUGACACCAAGAUGGGUGAGAGUGUGGAGGGCAGGAAGGCUCUCCAGAGGACAGGCUGGAUCUCUGGGCUGAGGACAACGGAAUGAGGGUCAACAAGGCCAAGU